GCCAAUUAAGGAAAAAUCUUCAGCAACCCUCUAUUCCCUUCAUCAUUCUCAGCCUUUCUUUGCCAGAUUUCAGCUAAAGAAACAACCAUGUCUCCAUCUUUCAUCUAUUCAUAUUUCUCUCCCUUCACUGCCAAUCAUCAUAGCAUUAUCAACCACCACAAAACACAUUUUUCUCCUCACAACUCUCCCACAACAAAGCACAACCCAAACCAGUUACCACCGCCUUCUACCGAUCAGCUCCACCAAAACCCAUCCAAAAAUGGCAUCGCUAUCAACAAACAAUGAUGAUAGCAGUAGCAGUAGAAAAAGCACGUGAAGAGAGAAAGAAAACAAAAAAACCAGAAAUUUCCUUGGCCCGAUUUCCCUUCUCAAGUGGCGGUGGACUUCAUCACCGGAGUAGGGAGGAGAAACGAAGAAGGCAUUCCUGAGCUGAAAAGAGACGCGCCCCAGUAGUGGUAGAGUGUACUCCCGCACGUCGAAAAUAGUGACAGCACGUUAAGCCACGCAACUUCAUUGUUCCAGUCCAAUUCCAACAGUCUUCGGCCUAAGUUAGCAGCUCUCGAAGGGUUGGGAACUGUGUUUUUGCAUGGAAAACCGGGGGUAAGAAGCCGUCGAGGAUUUAUCUUUCAAGCUAUGAUUAUGUUGGGAUUAAUAAUUGUGUUGGGAGGAUGAGUUUGAAUUAUCCAAGGUAUAAUUUUUUAACUUUAAUGGAAAAAUUCUACUUGUGAAUGUGUACAUUUGGUUUAUUGUAAAAUUUGUGCUUUUAUUUUAUUUCAACGAUAUGAUCAUAUGUUAUUUUUUUAA